GAACGCUAGCUACAGGCUUAACNCAUGCAAGUCGAGGGGCAGCGGGAUUGAAGCUUGCUUCAAUUGCCGGCGACCGGCGCACGGGUGAGUAACGCGUAUCCAACCUUCCGUACACUCAGGGAUAGCCUUUCGAAAGAAAGAUUAAUACCUGAUGGUAUGAUGAGAUUGCAUGAUAGCAUCAUUAAAGAUUUAUCGCCUGAAGAGGGGUUUGCGUCUGAUUAGCUGGUUGGCGGGGUAACGGCCCACCAAGGCGACGAUCAGUAGGGGUUCUGAGAGGAAGGUCCCCCACAUUGGAACUGAGACACGGUCCAAACUCCUACGGGAGGCAGCAGUGAGGAAUAUUGGUCAAUGGACGAGAGUCUGAACCAGCCAAGUAGCGUGCAGGAUGACGGCCCUAUGGGUUGUAAACUGCUUUUAUAAGGGAAUAAAGUGAGUCUCGUGAGACUUUUUGCAUGUACCUUAUGAAUAAGGACCGGCUAAUUCCGUG
rnacentral:rRNA from 1 species